CCGCGCGAGACGAUGCCGGUGACGCGGUUGGCGGUGAGAUGGAUGUAAGGCAGGCGCACGCCGGCAUGGAUGGUGAAAUAAUCCACGCCCUGUUCGCACUGUUCGAUCAGCGUGUCCUUAUACAGCUCCCAUGUCAGCUUGACCGGAUCGCCGUCGCACUUCUCCAGCGCCUGAUAGAUCGGCACGGUGCCGAUCGGAAUCGGCGCGUUGCGCAGGAUCCAUUCGCGGGUGGUGUGGAUGUUGCG
rnacentral:misc_RNA from 1 species